rnacentral:lncRNA from 1 species
CCUGCUCCAAGCCAGGCUCGGUUUCGCUGACUUCAGCAGCGGCCGCCCCGCACCAUGGAGGCGGCCCCCGGCUGCGGCUCCUGAGUCGUGGCCUCCGCGGAGGGUGGAGGAGGAGAAAGAAAACCCACAAAACUCCCCAAAUGGGAGGCAGCUUGGCCGGGCAGGAGGAGGAGCGGGGCGGGCCGGGGCGUCGCUGCGGGACCUCAUCCAAGGGCGCGCGCUCCGUGCCGUCCCAAGGGCCACGGGGUUGGCCAGGCCCCCGGAGCUGUCUGCCCUAGGCCGCGGAGGGACCCCGGGUCCGCAGGGGUCGGAAGCUCCCUCCCAGGGCCGGGACAGGCGAGGAGGCGGGAGCUGGGGCCGCCCUCGACGCCUCGCCAGGCCCGUCAGGACGGCCCCGAGGGCUGGGAGAAGCCGCCGGGGCGGUUGGGCUGGACGGGCGAGUUCAGGGGCCAACCCUCCGCACCCGGGGGCCGCGGCCGAGAGCGGUGCUCCCAGGGCUGUGGUCGGGGCGGCCCGGGGCCCUGCGGCGGCCCCGCUGCGAGGGGGUGGGGCGAGCGAGCCCUGAGAAGUUCGCCGCUUUUCAGACUCGCCCAAGUUGGCGAAAGGAGGCCAGGCUGGCGCCGAAGGCCUCCGAGAGCGUGGCCGCUGGGCUGCGUCGCCCGAGUGGCUGCGCUCGGCCCAGACCCUCGCACGCCCGGCGGCCAGGCGCGGUCACACUCACGCACGCUCGCCCUCAGCACGCCCGGGGCUCGGGGGGCGCGGCGACGGAACCUCGCUCCCCGCACGCGGGUUCGGCCCGAAGGGGCGGGACGGCCUUCCCCACGCCGCCGCGGGGCCCACCCGCGCGCCGCCACCCCUCGGCCCGCUCACGCGCACCCUCGGCGGGGUCCCUCGGGGCAGCUCCCGGGGGCGCUGGGGACGGAGAGAAAGGCCACAAAGCAAAAGAAGCAGCAAAGAGAAGGCGAAGGAGGAGCGGGGGCCAGGGUCCCGUGGACUCGCCUGGAGGGGAGUGAGGGGGGACACUGAGGGGGCUGCGAAGGCUCCGGGGGUCGCGCGUGGCCUUCGGGCUCAGCCCCCGCGCGCGCGGCUCCCCGUCCCUCCCCUUCCCGGGCUCCCGGCUCCCUCUCAGGGCAGUUCCUUUCUCCUCCCCUCGGGCCCUCUCCGCUCCGGCGCGGGGCUCAGUCCUGGGGAUUAAAAGAAAGGAGGGAGGGGAAAAGGGAGGGGAAGGGAAGGGGCGGAGGAGAAAGGAGGACGAUCCCUCCAAAGGCGGGUGUUGAGUUUCAGCUCGGGACCCUCGGGCCAAACUGCACGCCCCCUCCCGGGCCCUCUCCCCGGCGCCUCUUCCUCCCGCCGUCGCGGCGGACCUCCCGUGAUCUGGUGC